rnacentral:rRNA from 1 species
UACGGGGGGGGCAAGCGUUGUUCGGAAUUACUGGGCGUAAAGGGCUCGUAGGCGGCCAACUAAGUCAGACGUGAAAUCCCUCGGCUUAACCGGGGAACUGCAUCUGAUACUGGAUGGCUUGAGUUCGGGAGAGGGAUGCGGAAUUCCAGGUGUAGCGGUGAAAUGCGUAGAUAUCUGGAGGAAUACCGGUGGUGUAGACGGCUCUCUGGACCGCAACUGACGCUGAAACACGAAAGCGUGGGUAGCAAACAGG